UCGAGACGAGUCAAGCGACUAAUUUGAACAAACUUCCAAAGAUCGAACCAAUCCACGGGUCCGGAUACGGUAUCGACAGACAGUCAUCAUCGUUCACGUCGAUUAUCGGCGGACCAACGUGGAAAAACGUGAUUUAUUAAGCACGAUUCGUGGCCCGGCCGCUCACUGACCCGCCUCGUUAUCCUUAUCGACCAAACAGUAUCGUCGUGGGGGCAACUUCCUGCUCAACGACGACGUCACGUCCCUAAUAAGAUUGCGUUUUACGCUCGUUUCCCUCGCGAGGACGUAUUUUUUUCUUUUUUUUUUCGCUCGACGACGCGAGCCAACUCGAUCCUCUCCCUUAUCUUCUUCUUCUUCUUCUUCUUCUUCUUCCCAUUCUCUCGACUCGUGUUUUGCGCGAAUAACACGAGCAAACACGUGCCUCGCGUAUGCGCAACUCGUCGUCGCACGCGAUAUCCCGCCUUUGAACGUUUUUCACUCUUUUUUCAUUCUUUCUCUGAUUUUUUCGCGUCGUCGUCGCGGUGUGUGUGGAAAGGAUUCGCAACAGGCGACGAGGCGAGAAUUAAUCAGCGGUCAGCGUCGUGGGAAUAGAAUGGUCGUUGAAAGUUGAAUGGAGCUGGACAUUGAAUGAAAUGGGAUUAUUCACGGGUUCUACGAGUGAGCAAUGAAUGUGGGAAAAUGGGACAAUGGCUGGAUGUUGGAACGAGGUGGUGAAGAAUUUGUGAAAUUUUUAAAUCCGCGUGUAAUCGUGCGGAACAGAGUUAACCGAUUUUCUCAUACUUGGUUGGUUUUUAAUGGCCAGUUAUCAGGCAAUUUGAGGAAAGCUGUUAGGGAUCGAGAAGUGGAGGUAGUAGUUAACAGCUGGCACUUAGAGUAGUCGGCGCCAUUAAUCAAUCGGAAUCAACCUGGGAUUUAGAAGCAAUCAAGCUUCGGCUGGCGAUCGAAGCAAUGAAUCUUUGUACGAACGCUAAUUAAAUCUUCGAUAGCUGGUGCAAAUUAUCUUCUUAAUUAACUUCUAACAACUGUACUGGACGAUGAACAUAUAUAUUUCUAAUAGCAAUAGGACAUUUCAAAAAUCAAGAAUUAUCUGCAGAUUUUUCCAAAGUCAAGGGGAGUCGUGGCAACAAAGAAGCGACUCGACUGCUUAGCAUAAUGGAGCGACGACGCAGCGGCCAGAGUAUCUGGCACACCCACCUUGAUCUUGGGUGGCAGGUCGUUGUUUAAGAAGAAGGAGAAGAGGCGACGAGUUGGGCAGGAACGGGAAGAAUUUCAGGAAGGCUUUCUUCAGGAUGAGAAGAGGGCUCGUUCCUUGCAUAAUUCAACGUGCCCUCAUCAAAAUCGGAAUUUUAAAGCUGGGAAACGUCCGCUGGGCGAGAAUGCACGCUUACAUUUACGAGCUCGGAAGAAUAUCGUCAUUGUCCUGAAAAUGUUAAGCUUCUUGUUUAUCUUAGCAGUUGAACGGGGCGACAAAAUGUAUGCAAAAGAGAGUCGGAGCAAGAUCGUGGCCGCUUACGAGCCGGAACGAAAGAAUCCGUAACAACGUUUCGUGGCUCGAGGCUGUACAUGUAAUACAUACUGGGUGUCCUGUAACAGGUGACCGAACCAAACUUCAUUUUUGCAAAAUGCAAUAAAUAUGCAAAAUCGUACCA